UAACAAGUGGGGCCGGUAACGAAAGGCUGACCGACCCGCGAGGGGGAGCGAAUCCCAAAAAGCCGCUCUCAGUUCGGAUUGCAGGCUGCAACUCGCCUGCAUGAAGCCGGAAUCGCUAGUAAUCGCGGAUCAGCAUGCCGCGGUGAAUACGUUCCCGGGCCUU
rnacentral:rRNA from 1 species